AUGAACGCUGGCGGCGUGCUUAACCCCUGCAAGUCGCACGAAGCACUUUAACCUGAUUCUUCGGAUGAAGGUUUUUGUGACUGAGUGGCGGACGGGUGAGUAACGCGUGGGUAACCUGCCUCAUACAGGGGGAUAACAGUUAGAAAUGACUGCUAAUACCGCAUAAGACCACAGAGCCGCAUGGCUCGGUGGGAAAAACUCCGGUGGUAUGAGAUGGACCCGCGUCUGAUUAGGUAGUUGGUGGGGUAACGGCCUACCAAGCCAACGAUCAGUAGCCGACCUGAGAGGGUGACCGGCCACAUUGGGACUGAGACACGGCCCAAACUCCUACGGGAGGCAGCAGUGGGGAAUAUUGCACAAUGGGGGAAACCCUGAUGCAGCGACGCCGCGUGAGCGAAGAAGUAUUUCGGUAUGUAAAGCUCUAUCAGCAGGGAAGAAAAUGACGGUACCUGACUAAGAAGCACCGGCUAAAUACGUG
rnacentral:rRNA from 1 species